GGCUGUAGCUCAGUGGUAGAGUGCCUGCCUUGCUCGCGUGAGGCACUAGGUUCGAUUCUCAGCACCA
rnacentral:tRNA from 1 species